rnacentral:rRNA from 1 species
UACGAGUGGUGCAAGCGUUAUUCGGAAUUAUUGGGCGUAAAGGGUGCGUAGGCGGCGUAUUAAGUCAACUGUUAAAUUCAUCGGCCUAACUGAUGAUCCGCAGUAGAUACUAUUAUGCUAGAGGGUGGAAGAGAGAAGUGGAAUUCUUGGAGUAGCGGUAAAAUGCGUAGAUCUCAAGAGGAACACCGAUGGCGAAGGCAGCUUCUUGGUCCACACCUGACGCUGAGGCACGAAAGCGUGGGGAGCAAACAGG